CCCCAGACUCCUACGGGAGGCAGCAGUGGGGAAUAUUGCACAAUGGGGGAAACCCUGAUGCAGCGACGCCGCGUGAGUGAAGAAGUAUUUCGGUAUGUAAAGCUCUAUCAGCAGGGAAGAAAAUGACGGUACCUGACUAAGAAGCCCCGGCUAACUACGUGCCAGCAGCCGCGGUAAUACGUAGGGGGCAAGCGUUAUCCGGAUUUACUGGGUGUAAAGGGAGCGUAGACGGCAUGGCAAGUCAGAUGUGAAAGCCCGGGGCUCAACCCCGGGACUGCAUUUGAAACUGUCAGGCUGGAGUGCAGGAGAGGUAAGUGGAAUUCCUAGUGUAGCGGUGAAAUGCGUAGAUAUUAGGAGGAACACCAGUGGCGAAGGCGGCUUACUGGACUGUAACUGACGUUGAGGCUCGAAAGCGUGGGGAGCAAACAGGAUUAGAUACCCGCGUAC
rnacentral:rRNA from 1 species